CAAAACCAUGACAGGAUCCUAUGACUAUGCAUGUGCUAACCACAGUGGUCCUAUCAGAUAGUCUAUAGCUAUGGUAGUACUUCGCGAAAGGUGACCCCUAACAGAUAACUAGCAUCACCACUCUCGUUAGAGGGUAUGCCGUCAUCCAUAGGGAGCGGUUCUCUCAUGUCUUUUCAGACUAGAUGGAGGAGGGAGGAAAAUAGAAACUCCUCAGAGAUAAUAAAGGUAACGAAAUACUUAAUACAUUAUGAAUGUCAAUAU
rnacentral:lncRNA from 1 species